CCCGGUCUGGCGGGGGUGCUGCGGCCGGACGCGCUGCUGGUGGACACCCUGUCGGUCAAGCAGCCGAUCACCGCGGCCGUCCGGGCCCA
rnacentral:tRNA from 1 species